ensembl:misc_RNA Metazoa_SRP Metazoan signal recognition particle RNA
GCCGGGCAUGUUGCCACAUGCCUGUAAUCCCAGCUACUCAGGAGGCUGAGGCAGGAGAAUCACUUGAAUCCAGGAGUCAGAGGUUGCAGUGAGCCGAGAUCACGCCACUGCACUCCAGCCUGGGCAACAGAGCGAGACUCUGUCUCAA